GAUGAACGCUGGCGGCGUGCCUAAUACAUGCAAGUCGAGCGAACAGACGAGGAGCUUGCUCCUCUGACGUUAGCGGCGGACGGGUGAGUAACACGUGGAUAACCUACCUAUAAGACUGGGAUAACUUCGGGAAACCGGAGCUAAUACCGGAUAAUAUAUUGAACCGCAUGGUUCAAUAGUGAAAGACGGUUUUGCUGUCACUUAUAGAUGGAUCCGCGCCGCAUUAGCUAGUUGGUAAGGUAACGGCUUACCAAGGCGACGAUGCGUAGCCGACCUGAGAGGGGGAUCGGCCACACUGGAACUGAGACACGGUCCAGACUCCUACGGGAGGCAGCAGUAGGGAAUCUUCCGCAAUGGGCGAAAGCCUGACGGGGCAACGCCGCGUGAGUGAUGAAGGUCUUCGGAUCGUAAAACUCUUUUAUUAGGGAAGAACAAAUGUGUAAGUAACUAUGCACGUCUUGACGGUACCUAAUCAGAAAGCCACGGCUAACUACGUG
rnacentral:rRNA from 1 species